UACGAAGGGGGCUAGCGUUGUUCGGAUUUACUGGGCGUAAAGCGCACGUAGGCGGAUCGUUAAGUCGGGGGUGAAAUCCUGGAGCUCAACUCCAGAACUGCCUUCGAUACUGGAAGACUUGAGUCCGGGAGAGGUGAGUGGAACUGCGAGUGUAGAGGUGAAAUUCGUAGAUAUUCGCAAGAACACCAGUGGCGAAGGCGGCUCACUGGCCCGGUACUGACGCUGAGGUGCGAAAGCGUGGGGAGCAAACAGG
rnacentral:rRNA from 1 species